GGACGCCGGCGAGUGGCGAACGGGUGAGUAAUGCAUCGGAACGUACCCAGUAGUGGGGGAUAACUUACCGAAAGGUAAGCUAAUACCGCAUACGCACUGAGGUGGAAAGCAGGGGACCGCAAGGCCUUGCGCUAUUGGAGCGGCCGAUGUCGGAUUAGCUAGUUGGUGGGGUAAAGGCCUACCAAGGCGACGAUCCGUAGCGGGUCUGAGAGGAUGAUCCGCCACACUGGAACUGAGACACGGUCCAGACUCCUACGGGAGGCAGCAGUGGGGAAUUUUGGACAAUGGGCGCAAGCCUGAUCCAGCCAUGCCGCGUGAGUGAAGAAGGCCUUCGGGUUGUAAAGCUCUUUCGGCCGGGAAGAAAUCGUGGUGGCUAAUACCUGCCAUGGAUGACGGUACCGGACUAAGAAGCACCGGCUAACUACGUGCCAGCAGCCGCGGUAAUACGUAGGGUGCGAGCGUUAAUCGGAAUUACUGGGCGUAAAGCGUGCGCAGGCGGUUGUGUAAGACAGGCGUGAAAUCCCCGGGCUCAACCUGGGAACUGCGCUUGUGACUGCACGGCUAGAGUACGGCAGAGGGGGGUGGAAUUCCACGUGUAGCAGUGAAAUGCGUAGAGAUGUGGAGGAACACCGAUGGCGAAGGCAGCCCCCUGGGUCGAUACUGACGCUCAUGCACGAAAGCGUGGGGAGCAAACAGGAUUAGAUACCCUGGUAGUCCACGCCCUAAAUGAUGUCGACUAGUUGUUGGAGGGGUAAAACCCUUUAGUAACGUAGCUAACGCGUGAAGUCGACCGCCUGGGG
rnacentral:rRNA from 1 species